rnacentral:lncRNA from 1 species
GUCUCUCCACCCCCUGCUGCUGCUGGGCUUGCGAUUGCCGCUCGCUCCAGCUGAGCUAAGAGUAGCAGCAGCACCAGGGCAGGGACUGACUCCAGCCCUUGGACUCAGGACAUCGCAGACCUUCCCUUGCGUGCGUGACUCAUUCGCACAUCAUUUCUGUUUAUGCCUGGGGUGGGGAGAAAAAUCCCAAACCAGGAAUUUAGGAAGCACAGAGCAGAUCAGUAAGAGACUCAAGGGUCCAGAGUUAUUGGAGAUGCUCACAACUAAAGUCACAGAUGGUUAUGCUUCAAAAAAGCAAGUGAAAUUGCCAAGACACUGGGUAAUGUAUGGGAUUUUCUCAAAAUUACUAAGUACCGCUGAGUUACUAAGGAUUAGAAUUACUAAAUAUACAAUUUCGAUACUAAGAAAUUGAAGUGGAGGUUGAGGGGCAAAAGUUAGGCACUAACCAUUAAUUGAGCAGCUCUGCUAUGCCCUUUGCAUUUAUAAUUUUAUUUGAUCCUCCCCACAAUCCUGUAAUGCAGGUGUUCUUAUCCUUGCUUUAUAAGUACAAAAACUGAGGCUCAAAGAGGUUGUGACUUGCUUAAGGUCACAGCUGGGAGGAGACUAAGCAGUGGUUUAAGUCUCCUUCCUCUACUUCGUGCACCUUCAAAACACUAGACUUUAUUUCUGGAGGAGCCACACCAGGGUACAGGGCACAGACGCCUCCCUUUCAUCUAUGGAGCCUAGGGAAUUCAUGAUAGUUAGGAGAGGCCAGCUUUUCAACUUUUCUGAUGCACUGAAGGACAGCUCCAAUUCCCAGUGUCUUCCCUCUGAGGUGGUAGAUCACCAGCUCCCAGGGAUAAAUGUUUUUUUACUAAAACAUUAAUAUAUUAAUACUGCCUUGCACCCCACUUUCUCUUCUCCCAGGCAAUGUGUGCAUGUUUGAUCUUGGCAGUUUGUCUUUUAGAAGUGGCUCAUAAAAAUCAUCUGAGAGAAUGCUGACUGACGUCAGCUAGGUUUGUAGUGGAUCCCCUCUCCCUUCCCAACAAAGGAAAACUUCAGCUCAUUUGCUCCAGAUUCUAUCUUUGCAGCUCUGAGAGACCUUGGUCACCUGGUUCUUAGAGGCCUUGAACUAUAAGAUUAUGACAGGAUCACAUGGAAGGCUCAGCACUUCUAAUCUUCUGCCUCAGGCUCCUCCUUCUCUCAAGGUCCCCUGUGGGCACAGUGUCUUGUCAGGGAAUAUUUUCCCAGCUGGAUUUGGAGGCAGGCCAGACAUCUCUCUCAGGCCCUUUAGCCCUUGCUGUUAAGUUCCCACACAUGGCUGCACACAACAUGGAAAACUAGCUUCCAACAUGGGUUGAUGAAUUACGGCAGUGGGGAAAAGUCUCCUCUAGCCAGGCCAUUUCUCUUCCCUGGUAUUCCAUAGUUUGGGC